rnacentral:rRNA from 1 species
UACGUAGGGUGCAAGCGUUUAAUCGGAAUUACUGGGCGUAAAGCGUGCGCAGGCGGUGAUGUAAGACAGGUGUGAAAUCCCCGGGCUUAACCUGGGAACUGCAUUUGUGACUGCAUCGCUGGAGUGCGGCAGAGGGGGAUGGAAUUCCGCGUGUAGCAGUGAAAUGCGUAGAUAUGCGGAGGAACACCGAUGGCGAAGGCAAUCCCCUGGGCCUGCACUGACGCUCAUGCACGAAAGCUGGGGAGCAAACAGG